AACCCGAAAGAUCGAAUGAGGAGAUUCAUCGUCAGCGGAGUCGAUUUACUUGUGGUUUGCGAUUGCAAUAACCGUUACGCUACCACUGUUGUAUAUUCGAUUACGUCGGCGUGCACUUCUCCUCUAGUAGAACGUCGCGACCCGCUGGGUGUCGGUUUAAGGGCCGAGAUCGUCGACUGUACCGUAACACGUACGUGUUCGGUGCAGACGCUUGGACUCCCGACCGACUGCUCGGCGGUAAACGUAAGGUAUUGAGCCGCACUUGAAUGCGUUCAGGCUCGUCGCAAGCUCGAUCAUUAUCCUGGAGGUGCGGACCUAGCGCCGUCCCCGGGGAUGCUUGGCUGUUGGCAGACGAUGUCCUCGAACUGGCUUAAAAUUGAACGUUAAGAUCAAUACCGGUCGGCGACGCUAUUGCUUUGGGUAUUUUCAGGACCCGUCUUGAAACACGGACCAAGGAGUCUAACAUGUGCGCGAGUCAUUGGGAUGAAUAAAACCUAAAGGCGAAUUGAAAGAGAAGAUCGGCUUUACGUCGGUCGAGGGAGGAUGGGCUAACGUUUCCAUGUUGCCUCGCACUCCCGGGGCGUCUCUUAAAGUCAUUGCGACUUGAGGCGCACCAAGAGCGUACACGUUGGGACCCGAAAGAUGGUGAACUAUGCCUGGUCAGGACGAAGUCAGGGGAAACCCUGAUGGAGGUCCGUAGCGAUUCUGACGUGCAAAUCGAUCGUCGGAACUGGGUAUAGGGGCGAAAGAC
rnacentral:rRNA from 1 species